AGGGGCUCAAUAAUAAGGCUAGGCAGCAGGAAGUGGUUUGCUGUAUCAAACACUUGAUUGCUUCACAACAGCAGCACAACAAGGUUCUUGGAUCCAGGUACAUGAGGUACGUACUGGUGGUCAUACUUUGUACGCUGCCUGUCACCUCCUGGUAAGCUGAUCAAUCUUUUAGUGGCCUGAAAAGAAAAGAAUCAAGACUGUCGUCAGAUCAAGCAAAGGAACAAACGUUUAUCAUCACUUACACUUCUACAUUUACACAGAGACUAGACAUGAUUGCAUUGACAUUUGACAUACCUUAAGAAGAGUUGGCUAGAGUUUGCCAUCCCAGGCGAAUUGAGCUUCUGGUCGUAAACAUUCUUGACUUGCUGAUGGCACUGUAAAAUACUGUCAGUACUGUGGCUGUGCACCAUCUAGAAAACAGUGGGCGUUGCCGACAAAAGGGGCGUGACCCUGGAAGUGGGCGUGGUCUAAAAUUUGCGGCGCGCUUCGCGCGCAAUGAGCACCCCCAUUUACUGAAUCCUAGGAUCGCCCCUGAUGUACGCAGAAGCACAGAGAAAUGCUGGGAAAGAGGCGCUAGGCGUGAGUGACCUGGGGUCGAUCACUGGUGACUAGGUAUAGGAGUGACCGGGAGUCAUUAUUUGGGGGAGUCACUCGCGCCUAUAACACCGUCCGGUCAUGGCCGGUGGUAUGUUCAGGACUAUGGCCAAUAAUGGUCAUGUCCAUUCUAAGUUGUUUUUUGUUCAUGUUGUAUUAUGCUCGGCAUGUGAUAUGUUCUAUAGUAUAUAGCACAUGGUACUUUGUAUAUCAGUAAAAAUUUAAGUGAAAAUAUUUGCCAAGGGUAUCCUAUAAAAUCUAUGACUAGAACCACACAAAAAUAUCUGACCUUGACAAGCUUGAUAAAGCUUUACAGCCUCUUCACUUACUUUGUCUUAAGAAUUCUUCAGAAUAAUGUUUUCUAAGCUUCAGGAAAGACAAAAGCUUCAGCUAAGAGCCAUUCCUCUAAUAAACGGGAUACUGGCUAGUACACGAUGGUAUACCAAUAAAAAAUGUCACGAAAGUGAACGAGAAUAUACAUUCGUCAGAAUCUGACGAACGACUGACGCAUGCAUGCGCAGACAACUAGUACCAGGCCAGAGCGCAUAAAAGAGAGGGUUAGGGUUAGGGUUUUAUGUGCUCUUGACUACUAGUUGUUCGCCUAAUCGUUAUAAAAGCGCGGCCUGGGAUCGAGGCUAGGAAAAAUACAGCACAAACACACUACCGUAUACCUCGCUUGCGCAUGCGCACCUAGGCAUAAUAACUAAGUAAUAGGCUGUUAACUCGAUAAUAGAUCAAGCAUAAUCUACCAACCUCUAAUAGUAUAUAUGUAUCUAACUCAGAGCAGCUAUAUAUGUGCAUCAGAUCGCUUGCCAAUAUAAUUGUGCUCAUGCAUCGAUCUUGUACAAUCAUAUGAAUACUGCCUGUCCCGAGGUAUUUUGCACACAUAUCUGUAUAUACAUGCAGUAUAUUAAUUAUAUCUAUGGUAGAUCUAUAUUUUAAUAGUAAACUCAAAAUAAUGUUUAAGAAUUCAAUAUACUACAAAACAGAUUCUAUACUCCAGCUAUAGUUGUAUUCGGUAUAUACACUAUAUUUCCCAGUCACUUAAUACAGCUAUAUAUAUUCUACAGCAGUACGCAUGUUCUUUACUUCUUUAGUUGUUUGAACACGUUUGGAUAUUUCCCACGUUAAUCAUCGCACAAUUGGCUAGUAUGUUAAGCGUCAGUGUGAUUGGAGCAGUUGUUCCAGUUGAAGCUAUGGGGAUGGGAAUGGGGAAUGGGAUUCCACCUGAACACGGUGAACCUGAACCUCCAUAUACCUCCACACAAAAACCACCGCCUGCAUAUGUAUGAAUAAACAUAAUGAUUAUAAUUAUGGAGAGCUUAUUAGCACUAUACAUUUACUGCAUGCAUUAAAAUAAUGUCAUUUACCGCUAACGGUGCAAACAUCAAUAUCAGCCACGGUAUUUCCUGCUGGUACUUGGACUCUCACUUGUGUACAGCCUGACGAUAUUCCACAGUUGACCAAAACAUUUACAGCAUUUGCAAUGCCUGGAAUCCAGCCUAGUGCCGGCUGCAAUAUGGAAUUUACAAUAUUUCCAGCAGUAUCACAGUCCUGGAUAGUUAGGAAAGAUGCUGCUUGACUAAUCCGGGCUCUACCCCUGUCUUCAUGGGUAAUUCUUGAUUCUUUCACUGCAUUGGACGAAUCUUUUAAAGCUUGCAAUACCAAUGCUUGUGUUAGGGCUUCUUUGUUGUUUUGGCUCAUCUGAAUUGCCUUCAGCACAUCUAUCGCAGGUGAUCCAUUCACCAACUGUUGUGAGCAUAAAGCCACUGACACCAGGAGGAAAGCGAAUAUCUUCAUUCUUGCUGCUGAUACAAAUUGGGUCCUUGGCUGCUUAUGAGUUGCUUAUACUCGCUCUCUGUUUUCAGCUCAUUAUAUAUAGCCUGCAUGCUGACCUCGGUACAGUAUGCAGACAGAAUCCUUUUAACUGCCAUUUUUAGUGAAUGUAAUGUGAUCUGUGUAUCCAAGAAAAGGUUAUAGAGUGUUGACCUAUAGUUAAUUCUAUUAGCACAUCCCAAUGGUAAACAUUUAGCAGUUACUAUAAGAAGCCAGAGGAGGUUGGUCACGAUUGUUAAUUAAUCUUCUUGUAACCUCCAAUUCCGUGGAAACUUGAGAGAAAGUAGCUAUCCUAGCUAAGCCAAAAGGCUGCAAACAAUCAUAGCCUUUUAUACUAGUAGGAAAUGAUGCUAACAAUACUCAUGCAGUGAUACUAGAAAGCAUAGUCAUACUCAAAGUAAUAAGCCAGAAACUAAGAUUAGUCACAAAGUUCCAUUUGUUGCUGCACUUUCCUUGUUUCUUUGACUCCUGUCUUAAUAUAGCAAAAGGCCUAUGAUUGUUUUUCUAAAGCCGUCUAUUAUCAUAAAGGUGCCCAUUAUGCCAGCAUAAUUCUCACACAAAUAAGAUGCCUAUUUUGAGCAUAUAAUUAUAUAUGCUAGCAUAAUCUAUCAAGACCUAUAUAGUUGCGAGUCCAAUUUGAUUUAUGUAAAACUUGCUAGAAUUCACUCCCUCUAUAAGCUGGUGGACACGCAACCAUCAUACAAAUUUAAAGUUAUACACACGUGCUUGAGCACCCCAUGCAGUUGUUGCCACAAGGCCUACAACAUGUCUUGAAGUCAAGCAUCCUGUGUUUCACGAUUCAUAAUUAUUUUCACACCUUCUUUAGCAAUGCGAUUGAGUACAUUCAUCAUUUAUUCUUUAUGCUCAUGGAAUUCUCCUAGAAAGCGCCCAUUAAAGCGAUUUUACUCAUGAGUACCAGUGAAACCUGCACUUCAGCUCUAAUGAGCACAUACCAGAUUAACAAGCGUAGAGAUAUGUGUUGUAAUGACUUUGCUAGCUAGUUAUUCACUUAGUCAUUUCCUGUUCAUAAUAUUUCCUGUGUUGUAAUGUUUACUGUACAUGCGCAUGAGUUCUUAUUACUAGCUAACACUUCUUUUGUAUAGGUCUAUCUUAUUGCUUUGUGCUCUAGCCUGGCAGUCUGCUCCUAGCGGCACCCUUUGUGUAUGGGAGCGUCUGCUCCACUGUCUUUGUUGUCUUAGUAUAUUUACUGUCUAUGUUUUGUGCAUACUGUCAUUUGAUCUAUGCAUGGUUGAAUGUUAUUAAUCUUAAUCUUGAACUGCAUGCCACACGCUGCUCGGUGCACGAACUCAACAUGUGUAUAAGGUCAAACUCUUUUUCCCAGUAUAUUCUGCAUCAUUAAGUGCACCAUUAAUGUGACAUUCUGUGUAUAUAUGUAUAGGCAGUCAUUUCAUUGAUAAGUGCACCAAUUAGGCUGGCUGGCAUUCUGUGUAGGCAGUCAUUUCAUAAGUGCACCAUCUGGCAUUUGCAUGUGUUUUAACAGAACCAACAAUUCCACUAAUCAUGAUGCAUACAUGAUACAUGAUACAGUGAGGAGCCUCAGCCCACCAUGCAACACCAAUACAAACUGGAACAAUUAAUGUUAUAAUUAUUGUUGUGAUACAGUAUUACGUAUUUCAUUUAUAUAGCCAAUAGUUAAUCCCAUGGUGCUUUCUAUACAUGCAUCAAUCCAGAUUAUUUGAUAUAUAUAUACAUAUACAUAUAUAUAUAUAUAGGCUUAAAAUUAUGCACUGAAUUAAUAGUUCCAUAAUUUAUAUGUGCAUGCUAUACUGAUUUAAUGCUGAUCUGUUAUCCAUGGGCACACUUAUAGUCUUGCAUCAGAAUAAUUAUAUAUACCAGAGUUUGUCAAACUAGUCUGAACUGGUUUACCUAUAUUAUAAUUGUUUGAAUUAUGUAACUCUAUAGUUGAGUAACACUGUAAUCCUUAAACGCUUUGAGUCAUAUUUUAUGGCACUACCCCAACAUGCACGCAUGCACACCUAUCUUCUGAUCAUUAUUUGCUCAUGCAAUCUGCUAGUCAUCAGAAGAAAGUCGUUUUAAACGUACUGGUUCGAGCUUUUAGCUUUUAUUCGACACCAAAGCUUUAACAUCAAAAUCUGUUAACGUUAAACUACUAUAUACCUUGUUGUGUUGAGGCCUAUAUAUAUCCUAUCACAGUGCUAUAUCGCAUUCAGUUGAGUGAGACAGACUGAACAAAUUUGUCAUGCACUUGCACUAGAUCUAGUAUUCACUUUUCAUAACAACUAUAGACAGACCUCAGCUCAGCUUUCCCCCUAUUACUUAUAUAUGCCUUUUGGUGCAUGUUUCCCCGGCCAAUCCAGCCAAUCCAGCAACUAAAAUUAUUAAGACCAAAUGUUUCUUGGUCCUAAUAAUUAUUAAUUUCACAGCUAGUGUGUACCCAUCCCAGAGCAGUAUAAGAGCCUCAGUAAAAGAUGUUAUUGCUGUAGUCAAGUACCAGGCAUACCUAGGAAUGAAAUGUGAGACCAUGCAGUACCAGUGAAAACCAUGCACUUCACUUUAAUGAGCACACACCACGAUAAUUAGAUUAACAAGGUGGAUUUACCAUAUUAUUAUUAUUUUUAUAGAUAUGUGUAUAUAAGGUCAAACUCUCUUUCCCAGUAUAUUCUGUGUAUACAUUAAAUGCACUAUUAAUGUGACAUUCUGUGUAUAGGCAGUCAUUUCAUUGAUAAUUAGUGCACCAAUUAGGCCCUGUGGCAUUUUGUGUAUAGGCAGUCAUUUCACUGAUAGGUGCACCAUUAAUUAGGCGGCUGGCAUUCUGUGUAGGCAGUCAUUUUAUAAGUGCACCAUUAAUUAUACCUGAGAGGCCCAUCUGGCAUUUGCAUGUGUUUUAACAGAACCAACAAUUCCACUAAUCAUGAUGCAUAUACAUGAUACAGUGAGGAGCCUCAGCCCACCAACACCAAUACAAACUGGAACGAACAAUUAAUGUUGUUGUGAUACAGCAUUACGUAUUUCAUUGAGUCAAUAGUUUUUUUAAUCCCAUGGUGCUUUCUACAGGCAUCAAUCCAGAUUAUUGCUUGAUUUUGCUUAAAAUUAUGCUAAUAGUUCCAUAAUUUAUAUGUGCUAUACUGAUUUAAUGCUGAUCCAUGGGCACACUUAGUCUUGCAUCAGAUACCAGAGUUUGUCAAACUAGUCCAAACUGGUUUACCUAUAUUAUUAAAAGUGUUUGAAUUAUGUAACUCUAUAAUAUAUAGUUGAGUAACACUGUAAUCCUUUGAGGCAUAUUUUAUGGCACUACCCCAACAUGCACACUUAGGCCAAUGUUAAUUAAUGUCUUGUUUCUGGUUUGUGGGAAUCACCUUACCACUACUGAGCAGAGGAGGUAUAGGACAGGCGGGGUGCAGCUCUGGCAAUUAGCCUUGGAUUGAGCAAUAAUUAUCCGCCCACGUCGUAUGUUUUUGCUGAGAGUAAUCAAAGGUUAAUUAUACUUGAGCUGCACCACGCCUGUCGGACCUCCUCUGACUACUGAGGGAGGGAGGUUAUCAUUAUCAUUAUUAUGCUGGUAGACUACAACAUAACACCUCUUCCCAGACUCUCAUAAUGAAGAGGCCAAUAUGAUGCACAUAAAUUAUGAAUGAAGAUGUACACAGAGCGUUAUAUUUGUACUGUAUAAUUAUGCAUGAUGUCAUUGUGUGGAUUUCUUGUUAAUUACCACAGAGGCAGAACUUUUCCCAUGCUACACCAGCAUGAUGUCAUUGUGUACGGACUUUUUGUUAAUUACCACAGAGGCAGACCUUUUCCCAUGCAUGCUGUGCCAUGCAGCAUUAUAAUGUUAUUCUGUUAAUGAUAUAAAAAACAAAAUUAAGUUCCAUGUUGUAUCCAGAGAACAAAGAAAGUUUUGAGUCCCAUCAGGCAUGCACUCAUGCACAUUAAUUUUUUUACUCAACGACAUAGCAUAAAAGGACAAUACUGCAGCUGCACGGUCUAACAUGUAUGAUGUGAAUUUUUCGGGUCAGUUUGUAGACAGGAGACUGCUCAGAUGCAGAGGCUUGAAGUAUCCAUGGCAAUUAGGUAUCAACCCAUGCACCAGAGGGCCUGAAAUAACUACAUCCUCCUGUUCCAUGCAUGCACUCGUAUAUACUCCAUUAAGAGCUAAGGACUUGAGAGCAUAUACUGUGGACUACCUAGUAUAGAGCAGACUGAACCAAGAAUACUGAUGAUGAGUGCAGUGUUAUAUCCAUGGUGUUUAAAUCAGUAAUGCAUGACAUUGUAUGAUUGAGGAAUAAGCCACCAUGCAGAAACUUAACAAGGCAAUAACUAUUGAGCUAAAACUCAGUAUAGAGGGGUGUUCAUGUGCAUGAACGUUAUCCAAAGCUGUAGUAACUAGGCUUUGAGAACAGCAUCUGCAGUACGUCGUAUAGGUCAUGCACUGCAUGAGACUAUCACAGCAGAGUCAGCAAGGAAUCAAAACUGUGUUUCUUUAUUAUAACCACGUUGCAAGUUCAAGCUUUUUAUUUGCUCGCUUUUACUAGACAACGAAGCUUUAACAUCUAUAAAUCUAACUUUUUGUAAUAGAAGCUACCGUAUAGCGCGAAAUUUUCGAGGCACUUAUAUUUCGUGGAUUAGCCUCUAAAAGCUAUUUCAUUGCACAAUGUUCGCGGAAUGACUGCUUACCGGAAGCCAUGCCUUUAAAUCUAUGCAUGUUAUAGCAGGUAAUACAAUUUUUGUGGACUUAAUUUUCGUGUAGGAUUCUAACCCACGAAAUCCGCGAAAAUUAAGCCCCUCUAAAAUUUCGCGCUAUAUGGUAUUUAUGUUGUACCGUAUAGCGGGUAAGUUUCGUAGGGUAAAAAAUUUGUUUAACUCGAGAAACGGUGGUUUUCGUGAGUAAAAAUUUCGUUUAGUCUCGUGGCUGCACGGCAUUCCUACGUUCCGAUAAGCCACGCCUACGUUAAAAUUUCGUGGAGUCAGCCUGCCCACGAAAAUAACGAAUAUUUUACCCCACGAAAAUUACCCGCUAUACGGUAAUGUGAUUAAUGAACUAAGGGGUCCACCUCCUAUGAGUAGCGGUGCAAGUUGAAACAUCUGCUCGGGUCCCAGCAACAUCUUUGAUUGACAACCACAGAUUACCACCCAUGUGAUAUACCCAUGUGAUAGGCAUGCAGACCUCUUUCCCAGCAUUUUCCUGCUAUUUGCUUCUGCAUGUUAAACAACGUUCUGUGCAUGCAUGUAUGUUAUAGGCAUGAUUCAUAAUUAUGUGCAUCAAUGGUCUCAGAUUAGUUUACCUGGAAGUCUGGCAAGAGAUGUUGUUGUUGUGGUCUAGACUACCAGACAUACAUACCCAAAAUGAGAGCAUGCAUGCACAGUAUCUGGGAUAUGGAAAACCUAUUAUAGCCGUUUAGCUCCAAGAAUAGGUCUAAUUUGAUUGAAUCAAGGAUAUGCAAGUUGACCACUGCAUGUGUAUAUGGAUGCAAGUUCACCACGCAUGUAUAUGGAUGCAUGCAUGUUCUUGUUAAUACCACAGAGGUAUGAUCUGGGCCAUGCAGCUUUCUCGCUUCUGUUUAGUCUAAUCUAACUGUCUGCAUGGGCUAUACCAAAAGUCAUAAUUCAUGAAUAUAAUUAUAAUGAGGGUAGUGCAUGCAUAUAUAGAUCUAUAUAGGUGUUCAUUUCGUAUUAUUGGUCUCAGAUUACUCUGCCUGCAAUUCAUGCAUGAGAUAUAAAAAAUUAUAUCACUUGAUAUUUGUCACAAUCAUUAUAGUCACGCACUUUGCAUAAAAACCACACAUCAUUUUGUACAGUGUAUAUGCAUGCAUGUGUUUUAGCUUGCAAAACCGACAUGCACACAUUAAUGUAUAAUAAUAGCUAUAUUUUAGGCGGCAAGAAGUCCAAUCGGUGAUUAAUGAACUAUAUUAAAGGUGUCAAGGUGGGUACAUUAUGCUGGUAUAUAAUUAUAUAAUGGGCACACUUUGUUCAACAGCACUGCCAAACAUGAUUUUGAAAUCUGAUCUAGAUUGACUUUUGAACUACGAUUUUGGUUUCAAGUAUAUCAUUUGGUAUCAAUUUACUCAUGAGUAAAAUCCCGGGCACUUUCUAGAAGAAUUCCAUGAGUAUAAAGAAUUAAAUGAUGAAUGUACUUGAUUGCAUUGCUAAAGAAGGUGUGAAAAUAAUUAUGAAUCGUGAAACACAGGAUGCUUGACUUUAAGACAUAUUGUAGGCCUUGUGGCAACAACUGCAUGGGGUGCUCAAGCACGUGUGUAUAGCUUUAAAUUUGUAUGAUGGUUGCGUGUCCACCAGCAUAGGAAUUCUAGCAAGUUCUAAUUGGACUCGCAACUAUAGGUAUAUUGGUAGAUUAUAUGCUAGCAUAAUUAUAUGCUCAAAAUAGGCAUCUUAUUUGUGUAAGAAUUAUGCUGGCAUAAUGGGCACCUUUAUUUAUGAUAAUAGACGGCUUUGGAAAAACAAUCGUAGGCCUUUUGCCGUAAUAAUUAUAUAUGCAUAAUUUCUCAUAAUGCAUGCAUUGGUAGAUAUAGUUAUCUCCUUAGCAUGCAUGGCAUGAUAUUCUAGGUUAGAUCUAUAGUGUCAUACAUUGACCAUUAUAAAGUUUGUGAUGUUACUCGGAUGGUAUCAAUGGUAUGGUCUACGUUAAGCUUGUGGUUUAUAGAGGAAAUUGAAAAGGAGAAUUAUAAUUAUAGGAAAUGUCUUGAGCAUAGACUGCAUGCGGUUGCCCAUGCAAGCGGUGUAUUGUAUUCACUGCUCUGAAGUCAGCUAUAUAGUAUGGAAUCUGAAUGAGUAUAAUUAUACAUGUCUGCAUGUAUAUAGCAGGUUUUGUGACACAAUGGGCUCAUUAAUUGGUAUGCAAUGUGUAUUGUGAUCGUGUGCAUCUUAGUAACUGCUAAAUGUUUUGCCAUUGGAAUGUGCUAAUAGAAUUAACUAGGUCAACCCUUCAUAACCUUUUCUUGGAUACACAGAUCACAUUACAUUCACUAAAAAUGGCAGUUAGAAGGAUUCUGCCUGCAUAUACUGUACCGAGGUCAGCAUGCAGGCUAUAUAAUGAGCUGAAAACAGAGAGCGAGUAUAAGCAACUCAUAAGCAGCCAAGGACCCAAUUUGUAUCAGCAGCAAGAAUGAAGAUAUUCGCUUUCCUCCUGGUGUCAGUGGCUUUAUGCUCACAACAGUUGGUGAAUGGAUCACCUGCGAUAGAUGUGCUGAAGGCAAUUCAGAUGAGCCAAAACAACAAAGAAGCCCUAACACAGGCAUUGGUAUUGCAAGCUUUAAAAGAUUCGUCUGCAGUGAAAGAAUCAAGAAUUACCCAUGAAGACAGGGGUAGAGCCCGCAUUAGUCAAGCAGCGUCUUUCCUAACUAUCCAAGACUGUGAUACUGCUGGAAAUAUUGUAAAUUCCAUAUUGCAGCCGGCACUAGGCUGGAUUCCAGGCAUUGCAAAUGCUGUAAAUGUUUUGGUCAACUGUGGAAUAUCGUCAGGCUGUACACAAGUGAGAGUCCAAGUACCAGCAGGAAAUACCGUGGCUGAUAUUGAUGUUUGCACCGUUAGCGGUGGUGGUUUUUGUGUGGAGGUAUAUGGAGGUUCAGGUUCACCGUGUUCAGGUGGAAUCCCAUUCCCCAUUCCCAUCCCCAUAGCUUCAACUGGAACAACUGCUCCAAUCACACUGACGCUUAACAUACUAGCCAAUUGUGCGAUGAUUAACGUGGGAAAUAUCCAAACGUGUUCAAACAACUAAAGAAGUAAAGAACAUGCGUACUGCUGUAGAAUAUAUAUAGCUGUAUUAAGUGACUGGGAAAUAUAGUGUAUACCAUAAGAAGGAAUACAACUAGCUGGAGUAUAUAGAAUCUGUUUUGUAGUAAUAAUAUUGAAUUCUUAAACAUUA